UAAAAGGAUAUUAGAUUCUGUUACCUAAUUACUGCUUGUCUUUUAGAGUCACCAUGAGGAAGUCCAUUUUCAAGAACUUGGGAGGUUUCAGUUGCAGUGGAUUAUAAGAGGCACUGGAACAGCUGAUAUACUGAGGUGCCAUUAAGAAUUAUAUCACCACCGAAGCAUAAUCUUGCUGUAGACAUGAUUGCUUUGGGCGUAGGCUCCCAUGUCAGUGCCAAAAACGCUAAGACUUGGAGAAAGGAGAGGAGAAAGUAGAGCUACUUCCUCUGUAUGCUUUGCUGCUUGGAAAGGAGACAGAAAAACAGCAGGAAAUGCUCACUUCUUCUCUUGGGAUCUUUCAGGGACCUCCCACCUGAACAGGACGAUUGAACUUUGCUUUGGUAAGGGAUGACUUGCUGGAAGAUGAAAAGCCUUGUGGUGGAACAUGAGUGGAGCUCUUCACAGCUCCCCAGGCAUUGCUGGUGCAGCACGGGGCAGAGGGUGUGGUACAGCGAUGACACAAGCGACAUCUUGGAAGAGGCAAAACUUGAGACAGGUCUUCAAGGAUUGGUGCCAUCUGGACAGGUUGAAGAGGAGUAGGAGGGCUUUCGGAUGUGGAGAAUGGCAUGCACAAAAGCACGGAGCAACACUUUAUGCCAGUUGGAUUAUGGUCCAUUGGGAGAAAGAUCAAUUAAGGUGAAACCCCAGUAGAGAAAGCACUGGAGAACAACAUUCAUUCUUCCUUAAUAAAUCUUAGUUUUAAAUAUUUGCUUUGAGUUUUGUUCCAUUAAUAAAGAAAAUAAGAAGGAAAACCAACCAAUAUUUUGUUUUUCCAUAUGCCGUAGUGGAAUCCUGAAGUUGUUGAAUUGAAUUAAUGCUUGAUUCAAUGUGAGGAAUGGACAAAAGACAUGCAGAGAUUCAAGUUCCCUCCGUAAUCUGGUAUUUAUUCAUCAAUCCAUCCAUCCAUCUAUCUAUUCAUCCAUCCAUCCACCCACUCACCCACUCAUCCGGCCAUUCACCCACCCACCUAUCCUCUUACCAUUAGGAAAUUCUUUUAUGUUAAGUGCUAUAAGAGCCAAUUCCUCUUUUUCAGUAAAUGGAGAAGAACAAUUUGUAUUAUAAGAAUUAGUGUGGGUUAGAUUAUUUAUAUCAUCUUUCCCUGGUGAGGGUUCAUGUCUAGGUGUUUCAGACUAGCAUUUUUCCUUGGGUAAUUUCCACUUUCCCUUUGUAAGCUGAUACUUUUACUACAUGUAAGGUCAUAAACUGUUGUUUUGUAAAAAAUAUUUUGACAUGGAUGAACAAUUUGGAGUGUAGAUAUGAAGACAUAAAAGAUAACUUGAAAAAAUCAGACUGAUUCUAACAUUUAUGUAGAGAGGUAAAUAAUCAAGAAUAAUUAGUAACAUUCUGAAAAAGAAGGGUAGCAAGAAGUGACUAUCCUAUUAUUAAAUCUUAUAAAAACUCAUUAAGACAGCAUGGUAUUGGCAUAAGAAUAAAAAGACAUCAUUGGAACAGAAUUGAAAGUUUAGAAAUAGACCUAAAUACAUACAAUAGUUUAAUAUAAGGCAAAGUUUACAUCUAAAAUCAGUAAAGAAAGAUUAAUCAGGGAAUGAGGACAACUAAGUCACACAUCACACCCUACAGUAUAAGUUCCAAAUGAAGAAAAUAUUUAAUGUUAAAAAGGAAAUACUGAAAAUACAAACACGUACAAAAAUUAUUUUAUAAUUACAGAGGAGGGAAAGGCCAUAAGUCAUAAAAUGAAAGAUUGAUUAAAAAUAAAGUACUUGCACCUGGUGAAAAACACCAACAUCAAAGUUCAAAGAUAAAUGACAAGCCAGGAAAAAUAUUUGCAAUUCUGUCAAAGUGUGAAUUUCUCUACUCUUAAAGGAGGCAUACAAACUGAUAAGAAAAAGACCAAUAUCAAACAAAUAGCAGAAAAAGAAUAGAAUAGUCAUGUUUAUACAAAGGGAAAUUUACAAAGAAAGAUCAUUUACAUUGCUUUAAAAAAGAGAAAUGCAAAGCAAAGCAUAACUGAGAUACAAUUUCACCUGUCAAAUUGGCAAAGAUUCAAAAGUUUGGUAAUACCUGGUAUUGGCCACAGUAUUGGCACAAACAGGCUUUCAAAUACAAAUAGUGGGGAUGUAAAUGGCAGAAGUUGGCAAACGAUGGCUUGUGAGCUCAAUUCAGCCUGCUGCUUGCUUUUGUACUGCCCAAGACCUAAGAACCAUUUUUAAGUAGUUGAAAAAAAUCAAAAUAAUAUUGUAUCGUAUCGUAUUGUAUUGUAUUUUACUGUACUGUAUUGUAUUGUAUAUUGAACAUUUGCUAAGAAUAGAUUUUAGGUGCUCUUAUUACACACACACACAAGGUAGCUAUGGAAGGUGAUGCAUAGGUUAAUUUGCUUGAACAUGUUAAUCAUUUCACUAUACAUAUGUGUAUGAAAACAAUCAUGUUGUAUACUGUAAGUAUAUAUCAAUAAAAUAAAACAUUUUGUGACACAUGAA
rnacentral:lncRNA from 1 species